GAGCAAAACUUAGCUGUCGGCAUCUGCCCCUGGGGGUCCCCGGUGGACUGGGCUUCAGCGUUAUGCAUCUGUACUGAGGUCCCCGGUAGGCAGUAUUUAGCCCUUAUAUUCCAGCCCCAGAGUCCCCAGUGAACAAGACUCAGCUAGCUGUGCACCAGCCCCCGGGUCCCCUGUGGGCUGGGCUUAGCUAGUUCUAUGCACCGUCUCCGGGAUCCCGGGUGGGCAGGACUCCGCUCAUUUCACCUAUCACCAGGAUCAAGCUCCCCGCGUCCCCGGUGCCGACCCACGUACCUCGCGAGUGGUCACCUCCUCCUUCUCGGAGAUCCGGAGCAGCAACCUAUCAUUCUCCAGCUCCAGCGCGCGGACACGGUCGAUGUAGUGUGCCAGGCGGUCGUUGAGCUCACGGAGCUCCUCCUUCUCCUGCAGCCGAGACAGACGCGUGGGCGACAGCGGCGUGGCGGGCCCCGCGUGGGGCGGCAGAGACGCCAUGGCGGAGGUGGCGGCGGCGGGAGAAUCACCUCGGUUGCCCGAAUGCGGCGCGCUCAUUCAAUCCGCGCCGCGGAAGAUGGCGCCGCCGCCCGCAGCGCGCCGGAAUUUGUAGUCUCCUUGGCGCGGAGCACGCAGGGAGCCGUAGUCCACAGGGCAGCUUGCGAGGCAUGCCAGGAGAUGUAGUUUCCAGCUUUCCAGUAAAACCCGGGGUUUGGCAGUUACCCUGAUUGCGGGUGGAGGAGGCGUUCUGAUUUCUACAUGUGUACAGAUGCACACAUGAAGCCACAUAAGCGCACACACAGAAAUCAAUUAAUAAAUUAAACAAAUGC
rnacentral:lncRNA from 1 species